GAUGAAGAACGCAGUGAAAUGCGAUAAGUAAUGUGAAUUGCAGAAUUCCGUGAAUCAUCGAAUCUUUGAACGCACAUUGCGCCCCUUGGUAUCCCGAGGGGCAUGCCUGUUCGAGCGUCAUUUCACCACUCAAGCCUGGCUUGGUGUUGGGCGACGUCCCCUUUGGGGACGCGCCUCGAAACGCUCGGCGGCGUGGCACCGGCUUUAAGCGUAGCAGAAUCUUUCGCUUUGGAAGUCGGGGCCCCGUCUGCCGGAAGACCUACUCGCAAGGUUGACCUCGGAUCAGGCAGGGAUACCCGCUGAACUUAAGCAUAUCAAUAAGCGGAGGA
rnacentral:misc_RNA from 1 species